rnacentral:rRNA from 1 species
AAGCAGCAGUAAGGAAUAUUGGUCAAUGGACGCAAGUCUGAACCAGCCAUGCCGCGUGGAGGAUGAAGGUCCUCUGGAUUGUAAACUUCUUUUAUCUGGGACGAAAAAAGGGAAUUCUUUCUCGUCUGACGGUACCAGAUGAAUAAGCACCGGCUAACUCCGUGCCAGCAGCCGCGGUAAUACGGAGGGUGCAAGCGUUAUCCGGAUUCACUGGGUUUAAAGGGUGCGUAGGCGGGUAUGUAAGUCCGUGGUGAAAUCUCCGAGCUUAACUCGGAAACUGCCAUGGGUACUGCGUAUCUUGAAUGUUGUGGAGGUGAGCGGAAUAUGUCAUGUAGCGGUGAAAUGCUUAGAUAUGACAUAGAACACCAAUUGCGAAGGCAGCUCACUACACAAAUAUUGACGCUGAGGCACGAAAGCGUGGGGAUCAAACAGGAUUAGAUACCCUGGUAGUCCACGCCCUAAACGAUGAUUACUCGACAUACGCGAUACACAGUGUGUGUCUGAGCGAAAGCAUUAAGUAAUCCACCUGGAAUACUCCGCCGC